UACGUAGGCAGCGAGCGUUGUUCGGAGUUACUGGGCGUAAAGCGUGCGUAGGCGGUGGCCCAAGUCUGGUGUGAAAUCUCCCGGCUCAACCGGGAGGGUGCGCCGGAAACUGGGUCGCUCGAGUACUGGAGAGGCAAGCGGAAUCCUGGUGUAGCGGUGAAAUGCGUAGAUAUCAGGAGGAACACCCGUGGUGUAGACGGCUUGCUGGACAGUCACUGACGCUGAGGCACGAAAGCGUGGGAGCAACAGG
rnacentral:rRNA from 1 species